GCCGGCGUAGCUCAGUCGGUAGAGCGGCGCACUCGUAAUGCGUAGGUCGGCGGUUCGAAUCCGCCCGUCGGCUCCA
rnacentral:tRNA from 1 species